UACGGAGGGUGCAAGCGUUAUCCGGAUUCACUGGGUUUAAAGGGUGCGUAGGCGGGCAGGUAAGUCAGUGGUGAAAUCUUCGAGCUUAACUCGGAAACUGCCGUUGAUACUAUCUGUCUUGAAUUUAGUGGAGGUAAGCGGAAUAUGUCAUGUAGCGGUGAAAUGCUUAGAUAUGACAUAGAACACCAAUUGCGAAGGCAGCUUGCUACACUAUUAUUGACGCUGAGGCACGAAAGCGUGGGGAUCAAACAGGAUUAGAUACCCUGGUAGUCCACGCCCUAAACGAUGAUUACUCGACAUCAGCGAUACACUGUUGGUGUCUAAGCUAAAGCAUUAAGUAAUCCACCUGGGAAGUACGAUCGCAAGAUUGAA
rnacentral:rRNA from 1 species